UACGUAGGCAGCAAGCGUUGUUCGGAGGUACUGGGCGUAAAGAGUGCGUAGGUGGUGCCCUAAGUCUGUUGUGAAAUCUCCCGGCUUAACUGGGAGGGUGCGGUGGAAACUGGGGUGCUUGAGUGUGGGAGAGGUAAGCGGAAUUCCUGGUGUAGCGGUGAAAUGCGUAGAUAUCAGGAGGAACACCGGUGGUGUAGACGGCUUACUGGACCACGACUGACACUGAGGCACGAAAUCGUGGUUAGCAAACAGG
rnacentral:rRNA from 1 species